rnacentral:rRNA from 1 species
AAUGAACGUUGGCGGCGUGGAUUAGGCAUGCAAGUCGCGCGAGAAGUCAUUUAGCUUGCUAAAAGACGGACAGCGGCGGAAGGGAGAGUAACGCGUGGUUAUGUACCCUCGAGACCGGUAUAGUGUCGGGAAACUGGCAGUAAUACCGGAUAACAUCUUCGGAUCAAAUGGUGUGAUUCCGCUCGAGGAUCGGGCCGCGUACUAUUAGCUAGUUGGAGGGGUAAUGGCCCACCAAGGCUUAGAUGGUUACCGGGUGUGAGAGCAUGGCCCGGCUCACUGGGACUGAGACACUGCCCAGACAUCUACGGAUGGCUGCAGUCGAGAAUCUUCGGCAAUGGACGAAGGUCUGACCGAGCGACGCCGCGUGCGGGAUGAAGGCCUUCGGGUUGUAAACCGCUGUCAGUUAGGAGGAAAUCCAUGAGGGUUCUCUCUCAUGGUUGACCGAUUUUCAGAGGAAGGACGGGCUAAGUUCGUGCCAGCCGCCGCGGUAAAAC